rnacentral:rRNA from 1 species
UACGUAGGGGGCAAGCGUUGUCCGGAUUUAUUGGGCGUAAAGAGCGUGUAGGCGGCCAGAUAGGUCAGCUGUGAAAACUCGAGGCUCAACCUCGAGACGCCGGUUGAAACCAUUUGGCUAGAGUCCGGAAGAGGAGAGUGGAAUUCCUGGUGUAGCGGUGAAAUGCGCAGAUAUCAGGAGAACACCGUGGCAAGGCGGCUCUGUACGUAA